GGCAUUACUUAGAUUGUAAAAUAUUGACACCAAAAACAUCCAUUUUUAUAUAAAUAUAUUUCUUACUUGCAAGUUCAAAAUCCGAAGCAGAGACUUCGUUAGUUUUGUCAACUUGACAAUUCGCUGGGAUAAUAUCUUAAUCUCUAUGAGCCUUAAUCUCUUUGAAAUAAUCCUUAAUCUCUUUGAAAUAAUCCUUAAUCUCUUUGAUAUAAUCCUUUAUUUCUUUGAGAUAAUCCUUUAUCUCUUUGAGAUAAUCAUUUAUCUCUUUGAGAUAAUCCUUGAUCUCUUUGAGAUAAUCCUUAAUCUCUUUGAGAUAAUCCUUAAUCUCUUUGAGAUAAUCUUAAUCUCUUUAGGAUAAUCCUUGAUCUAUGUAUGAUCAUUCCCCCAUCUCUUUGUGAUAAUAUAUUUGGCCUUAAUCUCUUAUAAUUCAGACUCAGAUACAGAAUCCUUAAUCUCUCUGAGAUAAUCCUAAAUCACUAUAGGAUCCUAAUUUUCUAUGAUCUUCCCUUUUCCUCAUGUUUUUUUGUGAUAAUACACAGCUAUUUCAAUUAAGGCUGUCCCCGAGCAAAGCGGAAAAGUCGAAUACGAGCGCGAAAGGCUGCUGGGAAUCGCUAAAAAAUUAAUGAAUUUUUUAGCGAUUCCUAGCAGUCUUUCGCGCUCGUAUUCGACUUUUCCGCUUUGCUCGUGGACAACCUUAAUUGAAAUAGCUGUAUACCUUAAUCUCCUACAAUUCCGACUCAGAGGUAGAUACAUCACUACUUUUGUCGUGUAACUUAACAAUUUGUUGUGAUAAUACCUUAAUCUCCUUUAAGGCUGUUAAAGCCUCUUCGGCAUCUGUUGGCUUGAUACUUUCGGAUUCCUCAUUAUCCAUAAUGUUCUCCUGUGUCCUGUUCUUUUCGAGAGAUUGUUUAGCGAUUGAUGCUUUCACUGGUUUCAAAAGGCGGUUUCCCUUUGUGGAAUUGUCUCNNNNNNNNNNNNNNNNNNNNUAAUCUGAGGUCUUAUCCCAGCUUAUUAGUACCUAGGUGUAGAACUGAACGUUUUUCGAACAGUUUCAUUCCUGCUGCGUCUCGUGCUUAUAAUAAUAAGUAAACUUUAGAUUAUUAUCGUUAUUUUUAUCUAACUUACCUAUUUUUACCUGUAAACAUAGAAUAGAUUAAAUACCUAUGUUCUUAUACCC
rnacentral:lncRNA from 1 species